rnacentral:lncRNA from 1 species
UUAGGCCAUUCUUGAUGGAUCCAGACCCCUGCCCUAACUGUCCAACUGUCCUAAAGAGGGCUCAGAUUAUAAGACGGAUUGCCACACAGCUUCUUUUUUGUCAUGUUUUGUAAAUCCUGCCAGAGUUCCCUAAACUUGCUUCAAUUAUAGAAACUGACUGGCAUUCAUUCAGAAGCCCCAGGAGCAUUCAAUAAGUUUCAAGUAUAUUGAACCCUAGAUAAGAACAUGCAAAUAAGUAGGAAUGGAUCAUACAGGGUAAGCACCAGGGAUAAUAAGGUUUUGUAUGUUUAUACUGUUAAUGCCAUAUUAUUAUGAGAUAAUUUGUUGCAUAGUGUCCUUAU